rnacentral:rRNA from 1 species
AUUGAACGCUGGAGGCAUGCUUUACACAUGCAAGUCGAACGAGUUGCGAACGGGUGAGUAAUCUAUCGGCACGUACCGAGUAAUGGGGUAUAACCUAUCGAAAGAUUGGCUAAUCCCGCAUAUUCUUCGCGCGGCCGAAAACUGAUGAGCUGGUUGGUGGGGUAAAGGCCUACGAAGGCGACGAUCAGUAGCGGGGCUGCGGGGACGAUCCGCCACACUGCGACUGUGACACGGCCCAGACUCCUACGGGAGGCAGAAGUGGGGAAUUUUGGACAAUGGGGGCAACCCUGAUCCAGCCAUGCCGCGUGUGUGAAGAAGACCUUCGGUUUGUAAAGUACUUUUGUUAGGGAAGCGGGACCUAAAGAAUAAGCACCGGCUAACUACGUGCCAGCAGCCGCGGUAAUAC